UUUUUUCCCCUGGAUGGGCUUUCUAAGUUCAAAUGUCUAGUUUUCUGGAUUUUGUAAACCCGCGGAUCGCACCGCUUUGCCUCCGUGACGACUGCGCGGCGUCCUACCGAGGCUGCCGUGAUCCCGGUGACAGAAUGACACAGUUUCUGUAAGCCCGUGACUACAUCAGAAGCUCUUCCACUUUUGAUUUGUUUCAAUCGGCCAUGUUUGCCGAGUGUUGAAGGUAGGGCUGGGAAAGACAGUGCUGUGCCUUGCUCAGGGCUGUAGGAGAGGCCAGGCAGGAUACACAGUCGCGGAAACAUGUUUGUUUUUCCGUAAUGAUUAAACUUUGAUUUAAA